ACGCACGCUGGCGGCGUGCCUCAUACAUGCAAGUAGAACGCUGAAGGAGGAGCUUGCUUCUCUGGAUGAGUUGCGAACGGGUGAGUAACGCGUAGGUAACCUGCCUGGUAGCGGGGGAUAACUAUUGGAAACGAUAGCUAAUACCGCAUAAUAGCAGUUGUUGCAUGACAACUGUUUGAAAGGUGCAAUUGCACCACUACCAGAUGGACCUGCGUUGUAUUAGCUAGUUGGUGGGGUAACGGCUCACCAAGGCGACGAUACAUAGCCGACCUGAGAGGGUGAUCGGCCACACUGGGACUGAGACACGGCCCAGACUCCUACGGGAGGCAGCAGUAGGGAAUCUUCGGCAAUGGACGGAAGUCUGACCGAGCAACGCCGCGUGAGUGAAGAAGGUUUUCGGAUCGUAAAGCUCUGUUGUAAGAGAAGAACGAGUGUGAGAGUGGAAAGUUCACACUGUGACGGUAUCUUACCAGAAAGAGACGGCUAACUACGUG
rnacentral:rRNA from 1 species